GAUGAACGCUAGCGGCAGGCCUAACACAUGCAAGUCGAACGGUAAGGUCUCUUCGGAGAUACACGAGUGGCGCACGGGUGAGUAACGCGUAUGCAACCUACCUUUAACAGGGGGAUAGCCCGAAGAAAUUCGGAUUAAUACCCCAUAACACUAUGAUAACACAUGUUAUUAUAUUUAAAACUCCGGUGGUUAAAGAUGGGCAUGCGUGACAUUAGAUUGUUGGUAAGGUAACGGCUUACCAAGUCUACGAUGUCUAGGGGGUCUGAGAGGAUGGUCCCCCACACUGGUACUGAGACACGGACCAGACUCCUACGGGAGGCAGCAGUGAGGAAUAUUGCGCAAUGGACGAAAGUCUGACGCAGCCAUGCCGCGUGCAGGAUGACGGCCCUAUGGGUUGUAAACUGCUUUUAUACAGGAAGAAGCUCUUGUACGUGUACAAGAUUGACGGUACUGUAAGAAUAAGCAUCGGCUAACUCCGUGCCAGCAGCCGCGGUAAUACGGAGGAUGCAAGCGUUAUCCGGAUUUAUA
rnacentral:rRNA from 1 species